rnacentral:lncRNA from 1 species
UGCAAAAGAUAUUUUUGAGCAGGCAACUACAUAAAUGAUGAAGUAGGUGGGGAAACUUCUUUAAUUAGAUGUUGAAGCAUAUCUUCGACAAGGAUGAAUUUUCUAUGCAAAAACUUUGUUAAGGUUUUCAUAUCUAGGUUUUUCAACAAUAGUGCAUUCUAUUAUGUCCUUUUAUGUUUUUAUAAAUAAUUACUUCUCCGUAGAUACGGCACACAUGAUCCAUAAUUAAGUAUAUGUUAGAUUGGAUGGUGAGAUUAUCAUAAUAGGUAUUUGGAUCAUUGCAAUUCUUCUUUAACAG